CAGCUUCUGGUGUCCCUGUCAUUCUGACCUUGGCACAUGUCACAAGAGAAGAGGCUGACCACGUGUGCACAGGCUUCAUGAACCUGGGGUUCUUUCAAUGUCACCCCUAGUUGGUCAUGCAACCUCUGAGAUUCUACGAACCAGCCUACCAUUAUGUCUUAUCUGUCUUACACAAUUCCUCAAAACCAUGGAUUGUGAACAUAAAGUAGACAACAAAGAGUUGUUAAAACGAAGUAAAUCUCUUCUACGUUAUCAAAGGCAAGAUGUAGACCUGCCGAGGACCACAGGGGAAUAAAGUCAGACCAAAAGAAAAGGGAAAGAAGUCUAGCAUGAUAAGAAAACAAGUGUAUAAAUUUUUUGUACAUGUGCACUAGCACUGUGUGUGUGUUAGUGUGCACUUCAUAUAAGAAAUGAGAAGAAAAUAAGUUUGGUAUAUUUUUCCAGAAGUAAGCACUUUCUGCCACCUUGACACCCUAAAAAUAAUAAUAAUUUAAUUUUAUAAUUGCUAUUAAAAAUGGUUGAUAUUCUGGGCACAUUGCAUACAGAUUUAUUUUUAUGACAACCACAUCACACAUGUCACUGACAGGCUAAAUUCCACCUUUUUCUCCAGGGAAAUGAAGAAGAAAGGGCCUGCAUAUGUGCUGCAUGCAUAUAUUUCUGCUGCUUCUUAGACUGACAUCAAAAAACAUAUGUGCAUAUGUGCCAUCAGUAGGAUUUCCAUUCCCUUAUUUCAAAAUAAUUCUGUGUCAUCAUGGUCAUUGUUGAAAUAACAAAACUGAAUCACCUUGACAUCUAGGGUAUUUAUAUUUCUAUUUUAUGUUGUUUUUCAUUUCAUAUUUCAUGGAGAUCAUAGAAUCAAAUAAUUACUACAGACUUAUGCCAGAAAAGCUAAUGCAAUGUCAAAACAGAAAGCACAGCAACUAAUUGGCUGCAUUAUAGAGAAUGUAGAUUAAAGGGGCUU
rnacentral:lncRNA from 10 species